rnacentral:rRNA from 1 species
AUUGAACGCUGGCGGCAGGCUUAACACAUGCAAGUCGAGCGGGGGAAGGUAGCUUGCUACCGGACCUAGCGGCGGACGGGUGAGUAAUGCUUAGGAAUCUGCCUAUUAGUGGGGGACAACAUCUCGAAAGGGGUGCUAAUACCGCAUACGUCCUACGGGAGAAAGCAGGGGGUCUUCGGACCUUGCGCUAAUAGAUGAGCCUAAGUCGGAUUAGCUAGUUGGUGGGGUAAAGGCCUACCAAGGCGACGAUCUGUAGCGGGUCUGAGAGGAUGAUCCGCCACACUGGGACUGGGACACGGCCCAGACUCCUACGGGAGGCAGCAGUGGGGAAUAUUGGACAAUGGGGGGAACCCUGAUCCAGCCAUGCCGCGUGUGUGAAGAAGGCCUUAUGGUUGUAAAGCACUUUAAGCGAGGAGGAGGCUACUUUAGUUAAUACCUAGAGAUAGUGGACGUUACUCGCAGAAUAAGCACCGGCUAACUCUGUGCCAGCCGCCGCCGUAA